rnacentral:rRNA from 1 species
CGUACACUCCUACGGGAGGCAGCAGUAGGGAAUCUUCGGCAAUGGGGGCAACCCUGACCGAGCAACGCCGCGUGAGUGAAGAAGGUUUUCGGAUCGUAAAGCUCUGUUGUAAGUCAAGAACGAGUGUGAGAGUGGAAAGUUCACACUGUGACGGUAGCUUACCAGAAAGGGACGGCUAACUACGUGCCAGCAGCCGCGGUAAUACGUAGGUCCCGAGCGUUGUCCGGAUUUAUUGGGCGUAAAGCGAGCGCAGGCGGUUUGAUAAGUCUGAAGUUAAAGGCUGUGGCUCAACCAUAGUUCGCUUUGGAAACUGUCAAACUUGAGUGCAGAAGGGGAGAGUGGAAUUCCAUGUGUAGCGGUGAAAUGCGUAGAUAUAUGGAGGAACACCGGUGGCGAAAGCGGCUCUCUGGUCUGUAACUGACGCUGAGGCUCGAAAGCGUGGGGAGCGAACAGGAUUAGAUACCCCAGUAGUCCC